rnacentral:lncRNA from 1 species
UUUAAUUUCCGAAGUUGUUAUGGAUAUAUACAGUCAUUGAUACUUGGAUAGCUAAGACAAUAUCUUAACACGAAAAAAGAGAGCUGAAUCUUGCGAAUAAUCCAACCCCGACUAGUUGGAUGGAUAAUCGUUAUUUGGCAUUUAAAAUAGAAACAUACGCGUGUUGAUUUGGUCGGAGCCAGACAACGGUUUAUAUUUACCGAACAAAAAGACAAAGAAGCUUAUCAUUUGAGAUGAAAUAGUAAGUAAAUCAUAUCUGUAACGAUGAAUCCAAAAGGAAAGUACCUGACAACACAUACACAAGGGUAACAAUUUGAAUAUGGAGACGCGCGGUAUAGCUCACAAAUUCAACAAGGUGAGAAGAGUGAAGAGAAAGAAAAGCAAGGGAAGAAAAGGAGAGGUAGAAUAUUGAGCGAGGCUAGUGGGUUGCAAGGGCUGAACCACCGGUCGAAUUCCUGGUGUGGCUGUGGGGCCCAUCGGUCCAUCCAAGGGAGCAUCCGGUGCCAGCCCAGGAGCUGUCGCCGCCGCCUUAGAUGCUAAUCACAGUUGUCCAAAAUCAAACUUAAACUCUUAACCUUGACUCAAAAUGCAUAAAAAAAACGUGAUCGUGGUUAAUUAAUUACUCACAUCCGGGGCUAAAAGCAGACAUAGGCGGUGGUGGGGCCAGCAAAAAUGGCACUGGACCUGCCCAAUACAUUAGUUAAAUGAAUAAUGGCUGAAAUCAACUGAAUCAUAAAUGUACAAUUCAAUAGUAAUGAGCGUUUUUCAUAAUAAUUAAACAAAACCUGGCGCUGGCAGAGGUGUUCCCGCCGCUGCAAAUUAAGCAAAAUGAGCCAUUAAUCAUUUCUCAUAUACCCAUAAUCCAUAUUCCCUUAUAAUUUCAUAUACCCUUUAUUCUCAAAUAUUCCUAAUUUCAAAUACUCUUUAAUUUCAAAUACCUUAAUCUCAUAUAGUGUGUUCGUUUGUGUUAAGAAAGCCCAAGUAAUAAACCUAAAUAUAAUAUAACUUGUAUAAGCAAGUCCAAUAAUAAACCUAGAUAUUUCAAAAUUGGACCGAUCCUAUUAACUUCAGAACCUAGAUAAUGUUAACUAUUAUAAGCAAGCUCAAAUAAUAAACCUAAAUAUUUUUAAAAUUUACGUACAUGGGCUAGUGCCAAAUCCAUCGACAUGAAAUUAUUAACUUGUAAAGGCAUCGUUAGCUCAAACUAGAGGGCCCAGCCCAUUGUCAAAUCCGAAAUUUGAGUUUCCAAAAAGACCCGAAAAUAUUAAAAUUGACGCAAAUUUUUUGAAAAGGCCGAAAUAUUUUGAAUGACAACUAAGAAAAUAGUAUUCAGGUAACCUGAUAAAUAGGUGGAGCCCAAUGGCUCUUGAUACGCAGGCCCAAGCUGAAUAACGCCAGAUUCCUUCCCUUGCUUCACCAACAAUUUUGAAUCAUCUGCAACACAUAUCUCACAUAAGAAACAAAAAUCCAAAAAAUCUUACCAGUAAUUCGUAAAACAAAAAACGACAAACAUCGCGGUGAUUAAAGUAUUGGGGAAAGAGAGAAACGAGGUCCGGAUACUUACCGUCAACGACAGCAUUAACAUAACUCUCGAUCCCGAUCGCCUCUGCACCGUCACCACCGUCUCCGUAAGUCCCGCUUCUAUUGGGAUCGAAUGUAGCUACGAUCUGUUUCCGAACAAGGUCUGAGUUACACGAAAACAGUAAACAAAAUAAAAGAUUUAAAGUUUCAAAUUGGAAUCAAGACACGAAAACCCUAAAACAAGAAGACGAGAAAGAAGAAUAUAUUCAUGAAGAUUGGAGACUGUUCCUCGAAUCAUACCUCUGACUUUUCCUUGCUUUCAUCAUGGCGGGCUUGAGAUGAGACGAGAGAUAUGGAACCACCAGGUCCGCGACUCCACGACCUUUCCUUGCUUUCAUGGCGGGCAGCCUUAAUCACGUUGAAGCGAGAUUAACGUCAAUCGUCUGAACUUGAUAUCCUCAACACAUCGAUCGGACCCGACUCGUCAAUGGCCUUCGCUUCGAUAUUGGUGAUCGAUCAACUUCGCUAUUUUGUGACUCUCUCCUCUUUUCUUGUUCUCGCUAUUUUCUCUCUCUGCGGUUUCUCAAAGAUCAGAAAAUAAGAGUGAUUCAAAUUUUGAAAGAGAAGGAAGAGAAGUUAUAAAGAAGAUCUGCGAGAAUCUUUUAACUGAAACAGAAUUAGCCGUUGCUUUGGAUAACGUUUCAGGUUGAUCAUUCUAUAUAAAACGGCAUCGUUUAUUACUUAUUUAAAUCAACAAAGCAAUAAGACACAAAACAACACCGUCAUGCGGCGCCAAAGGUAAUAGAAAGCGUUGACCUUUUAUUGAUCAGUUUCAGUCAGUAUACAAACAAUUAAACAAGGGUAUUAAAAGUUACAAACAAAGUUGAUUAUAUACAUAUAUGACUAGUUAGUUGAUCAAAAAAUAAUAUAUAUAAAUAUAACUAGUUCAAGUUCGUGAUGCUUCUUGUUCUUCUGUAUGUUGUUUUUGUUUCUCAGCUUUCUCUGCUUCUAACUUCCUCAGGGUACUCAAAACUUAUCUUAUUUUCCACUUAAUCCAUCAGACACUAUUUAGACAACCUCUAUCUGCAACAAAAGCACGUCCAAUGAUAAGGGUUCGACGAUUGGAUCUCUUAAAAUGCAUCCCAAGGUUAAGGCUGAUGAAAAAGGACUAACCUUGAGUUGAGAAAGACCUCUUUCUGCUCUCUUUGCUGCAUAUUAUGCUUAGCUAGAGAGAAAAGAAAAUUAAUACAAAUAAUGUGGCAACCUGCCAACGUUGUAUAUUAUAUCGCAGUUACCUUGGGAAGCAAGGGCGUGGUUGGUUGACAGAGAGAAAAAACGCCGAGGUGAUAUGGCUCUAAUCUUCUUCUUUUUUUAAGAAUGGAUAGUAGUGGAAGUAAAGGGUUGUCGAGAGGAAAAGAAUAAGUGAAUUGUACAUAUGUUGUUUCUUCCUCAUGCAAAUUAAGCAGAGAGUGAAAAGAUGGUAAAAAGGAGAGAGACAGUUGUAGAGACUGAAUAAAGUUUAGCACCUUGGAGUCUAUAAUGUAUAUUCAUUAUCUCACAAUAAUAUUCAAAUUAAAUAGUUGUUACACUGACGCCUGUUUUAUGUCUUUCUGGUGCUACGUAUGAGUGGAAUUGAUAGGGCUUUUCUUUUACGUGAACAAUAAUAAUGUGUAUAGAGGCUUCGAUUAUUUCUAAUAAAAGAGAUGGGUACUUCUGUUUCGGUUCCCGAGAGAUCCGUCCAUGAAUUCACCGUCAAGGUAAAAAAACUACUGUGUUUCGCUUGAAUCGUAUCUAUGGUUUUUAUUUAAUUAUUGUUUCAUGGGGAAUCACAGGAUAGCUCCGGCAAGGACGUGAAUUUGAGCAUAUACCAAGGGAAAGUCCUCCUCCUUGUCAAUGUCGCUUCCAAAUGGUUUGUCUCGUUUUUUUCCCUUACAACGUUUUCUUUCUUUAAUUCAUUACUGAUUGAUUGUUUAUCAUUUGGAUUGUGUGCAAACAGCGGGUUCACCGAAUCCAAUUAUACCCAGCUCACCGAACUUUACCGGAAAUACAAGGACCAAUGUCUUUUUUAUUAACUUAGUUUUGUUAGCAGUUGCAAUCAUAUUCAUGCAUUUAUAUUUUUGUAUAUAAUAUUAUUUCCAUUGAUUAUGUAUUUCAGGGUUUGAGAUCUUGGCAUUCCCUUGUAACCAGUUUCUUUACCAGGAGCCCGGCACGAGUCAAGAAGCUCAUGAUUUUGCUUGUACACGGUUUCAGGCCGAAUACCCUGUUUUCCAAAAGGUAGGUCUUCUCUUUCUGUCUUGUUUCUAGUGGCUACAUGACGCUUGGAAUUUAUACCUAAUUACAUAGCUCCUCAACUUAUAUCCAUCUCAUUAUGUUAGGUAGGUAGCUAUAUAUGACUUGUUUGUGGUAUUUUUGGAACAAGUGUAACCAGAAAUCCAUAUGUGCUUCAACAGUUACCAUCUGCACCUGAUUUUUUUUUAUUGUUAGUAAUAUAUAUAUAUAUGACCAAGUGUGUGUUAUUAUGAGAUUAGGUACGGGUAAACGGCCAAAACGCGGCACCACUCUACAAGUUCCUUAAGGCAAGUAAACCCACUUUUUUGGGGUCAAGAAUUAAGUGGAACUUCACCAAAUUCUUGGUCAGCAAAGAUGGCAUAGUGAUUGAUCGUUAUGGCACGAUGGUUACACCUCUGUCCAUCGAGGUAUGCAUUCUUUACGUAUCAAAAUAAAUUGUCUUAUGCUAUAAAUUGUAAUUGUCGUGACUUGUGCCCCGGUUUCAUGUGUUUGUGUGUAACAAACAGAAAGACAUCAAGAAAGCUCUGGAAAAGGCUUGAAACAGCAGACGGGAUUGCCUUUUAUAUCAAGGCACCAAAUAAAAAUAUCAGUUCAUUUUGUAACUAAUGAAAAUCCUAGCUUUUAUGUUGUUAAUCCAAUUUUCCUUUCUUAUACAGACAAGUUUUUCAGUUUGGUGUAUAUAGAAAAAGAAUCUCUCCCAGUAGGUGGUUGUUUUCAUUUUUUUUUUUGAAAAGUAUUCUUUAAUUUCCGAAGUUGUUAUGGAUAUAUACAGUCAUUGAUACUUGGAUAGCUAAGACAAUAUCUUAACACGAAAAAAGAGAGCUGAAUCUUGCGAAUAAUCCAACCCCGACUAGUUGGAUGGAUAAUCGUUAUUUGGCAUUUAAAAUAGAAACAUACGCGUGUUGAUUUGGUCGGAGCCAGACAACGGUUUAUAUUUACCGAACAAAAAGACAAAGAAGCUUAUCAUUUGAGAUGAAAUAGUAAGUAAAUCAUAUCUGUAACGAUGAAUCCAAAAGGAAAGUACCUGACAACACAUACACAAGGGUAACAAUUUGAAUAUGGAGACGCGCGGUAUAGCUCACAAAUUCAACAAGGUGAGAAGAGUGAAGAGAAAGAAAAGCAAGGGAAGAAAAGGAGAGGUAGAAUAUUGAGCGAGGCUAGUGGGUUGCAAGGGCUGAACCACCGGUCGAAUUCCUGGUGUGGCUGUGGGGCCCAUCGG